UCUUCGGUGUCAGCGGCGGACGGGUGAGUAACGCGUGGGAACGUGCCCUCUGGUUCGGAAUAACUCAGGGAAACUUGAGCUAAUACCGGAUACGCCCUUUUGGGGAAAGGCUUGCUGCCGGAGGAUCGGCCCGCGUCUGAUUAGCUAGUUGGUGAGGUAACGGCUCACCAAGGCGACGAUCAGUAGCUGGUCUGAGAGGAUGAUCAGCCACACUGGGACUGAGACACGGCCCAGACUCCUACGGGAGGCAGCAGUGGGGAAUAUUGGACAAUGGGCGCAAGCCUGAUCCAGCCAUGCCGCGUGAGUGAUGAAGGCCUUAGGGUUGUAAAGCUCUUUUAUCCGGGACGAUAAUGACGGUACCGGAGGAAUAAGCCCCGGCUAACUUCGUGCCAGCAGCCGCGGUAAUACGAAGGGGGCUAGCGUUGCUCGGAAUCACUGGGCGUAAAGGGCGCGUAGGCGGCGUUUUAAGUCGGGGGUGAAAGCCUGUGGCUCAACCACAGAAUGGCCUUCGAUACUGGGACGCUUGAGUAUGGUAGAGGUUGGUGGAACUGCGAGUGUAGAGGUGAAAUUCGUAGAUAUUCGCAAGAACACCGGUGGCGAAGGCGGCCAACUGGACCAUUACUGACGCUGAGGCGCGAAAGCGUGGGGAGCAAACAGGAUUAGAUACCCU
rnacentral:rRNA from 1 species